rfam:Camelus ferus unplaced genomic scaffold scaffold558, whole genome shotgun sequence.
GAGGGUAUAGUUCAAGUGGUAGAGCACAUGCUUAGCAUGCAGGAGAGCAUGGGUUCAACUCCCAGUACCUCCA